rnacentral:rRNA from 1 species
AUUCCAGCUCCAAUAGCGUAUAUUAAAGUUGUUGCAGUUAAAAAGCUCGUAGUUGGAUUUCUGGUCGGAGCGACCGGUCGGCGUCCUUUGUGGCGUGUGCACUGUUGUCGGCUCCGUCCAUCCUAGUGGGAAGGCGCGUGGGCAUUCAUUUGUUCGCGCGUGGCCCCGCUACGUUUACUGUGAAAAAAUUAGAGUGUUUAAAGCAGGCGUUCGCUGUGAAUACAUUAGCAUGGAAUAAUGAGAUAGGACUUUGGUACUAUUUUGUUGGUUUGCGCACCAAGGUAAUGAUUAAUAGGGAUAGUUGGGGGUAUUCAUAUUCAAUUGUCAGAGGUGAAAUUCUUGGAUUUAUGGAGGAUGAACUUAUGCGAAAGCAUUUACCAAGGAUGUUUUCAUUA